CGUAAAAUAUUCACCAGCCGGCACAGACCGGUGGAAAAUUUCCAUUACGUAGUCUGCCACCACGAAGGGUCGCGUCCAGACUUUUUCUCAACCCUCAACGCGCCGCGCGCUAUUAUUUUGCAGCGAACGGAACGAAGGAAUGUUCCUGGCGCCGGUGAGGAUUUAUGUGAACACGCGCGUGUAACGGCCGAUUAUUAGAAAAUUUACGCGGUAAAUUAAACGUUAUUCAGCGGAAGAGACGAGGCCUUCUUCUGGCGCGUGGCUGAUACCGCCUCCGUUUAAAGUCUGCCCACGAAGAUAGCGGCACGGGAAUGGGGUUUACUCGUUCGCCUGACGUCGCGUCGCGUCGCCCGAGGAACUUCGUUCAACACAGCAUGUCGAACGCGACAAUAUUUGCGAAUUCGCCAUUCGAAGGAACGAAAUAAUUAGAGCGAUGAUCGUCGACUCGCGUCGCGGCACGGCGAAAGGGAUGAAAAGCUGGGCGAGGAGAAGGAAGGCGCGAGAAUACGCUUCGCGGUGGAAAUCCGACGAAGUUAUAAUUACCUGGACGAGAGAGCGUGCUCUGGCGUCGACGAAUACUACAACGGGAGAGACAGUCGAGGUAAGACAGAGAGACGGUGGUCCGGGUGGCGAACCCGGGAGAGCGCGUGCGAAAGAGAGGCCGACAAAUGUGGCAGCGAUUAAAAAGGGAGGAUCAGAAAGGGGUAGCGGCCAGAGGGGUAUGGGACGUUUAUUCCGUGCGGCUACACGGAAUCUCUUCCGGUUUGACAAAACAGGUCGGACAACCGGGCGGAAGGUGCGAAUUUCGUAUGGAUGUCACCGCGACGCGAACGAGUUUGCGAGACCACGUCGGAGAGUGCACACGUACUGUCUCUCUAUAGGCCAUCUAUUCAUCUCUCUCGCUCUCUCUCUCUGUUCCAUCAUCCGUCUCUCCGUUCGGUUAACGUCAGCCAGAUCGCGUUCUCCGCCGACACUGCGUCUCUUAUGCGCGGCAACAACGAACGUAUUCCUCCUGGCCGGGCGAGAGAUCGCCGAGAUGUGCCACCUGAAACUAUGCUGCUCGUUCGAAUGAGAUUCGGAUAGCUAUGGAGGCAGAAACAGAGACGGGGAGACAGAAAGAUGGAAUGGGGAUGAAACGGAGAAGAGGGAAUGGUACAGGUUAGGGUCAGGUGGUGAUACAAAGUUGUUUGGACGGACAACAGAGAGAGCAGAAAAGCUUGCAUGGUUGGUUAUAAUUCGCUAAGAAGCUUUGCUAUCGCGGAACAUCCCCAUCGGUAUUCUGUUUCCCGUUUCCCGAUCGUAUCGUAGCCUCAUGUUCCUUUUAUAACACCGUAAUAAUAUUUCUUUUAAAUGGAUUCUGCAAUACACGUAUUUUACAGUUUCUCUUCGUUCUCUUCUCUGUUUCAAAUUCUAUAAUAAUUUAUAGGUAUAACGAACGUCGUUUGAAUUGUCUGAUUAGUCGGUGACAUGUACUACUUGCAACGUAUAUUGUUUCGAUAGCAUAGUAUAAGCGAGUACAAAGAACUGGUAAAAUAUUUCGUAAACAUAGCCAUUCCUCUAUUAAUGAGGAAUGCAAUAUAUUCUAACAGCUUCUCAAACCGGGCACUAAGACAAUGGCAAACAGGUAUAACAGCCAUGAAUUUAAGAGGAACCACAUGUUUCUAGGAAAAUUCUGCACAAUGAGAUGAUAAUUAAAAUCCGAAGAAUGCGCCGCGAAUUUGUAAAGACGUCGUUCCGUCGAGCGGGAAGAACGCGAGAAGCACGACGAUAGUAGUUAGGACGGGCGAGAGGGUUGGCCGGGUCAGCCAGUUGGAGAGAGCAUCGGCAAAUAUCUCAGGAACACAACGAGUGACCCGCAUAAAGAAGGAAAUUGCUCUAAGAAUCUUCAGUCUCGAAUUGCUGGGCCGGAAUAAAUAAGCAAAACUCGUGGUGCACGCGAAUCAAAGCGCGCGCGUUUUCCGCUCCCUCUCCCUUUUUCUCCGUUCUCCCUUUGUCCACCGUUCGUUCUCUCCUCAUCGAACAAAUUCCUCCUAACGAGAGAAGAGUUCUCCGUUGAUAAUAGACACCUUUUGCCCCUUUGGACGUCGCGAUCGUUCUGGACAAUUGUAAACUCGCAUGGAAAUAUACGUGAGUCUCUUCUUCUCCUCCUCCUUUUACGUUUUCCCCAUUUGUCUUUUCUCCUUUUUUUGCCCCACGUUUGCUUCUUUCGUUGGGUUCUUCUUUCCAUGGAACACGCGGAGGGAGAAAAGAAGACUAUGCGUGCUCGUUCCGCUUCCACUGGGAUCAUAUUUUUGCUCGUGAUAGUGUAAUGCGGCUGCCAAUAAUGUUUCUCGUUACCGCAGGCAUCCAUUAACGAAUAAUGCAAGGGAUUUCAUCGAUUCGAAACGCGCAUAAUAGUACGUCAAUCGUAUCCCGGAACCAGAUGUUGUGACAAGACGAGACUUUGAGGCUCUACUUCCAUCUCGUUGACGAUGCAGCCCCUCCUCUUCCAAAUCGUCUCCCAGCAAAUUAUAAUGGUUCUGCGUAUAAGACGACUAGUUACGAUGUAUCAGAUAAAACGUAUGCAACGUCUGACGUGGCUAACAAUGUUCUAACGUUGAAAUUUUUUCAAACAUUGCUCCAAGUCAUGAAAGUUUUCAUUAUUUUAGAAAGAUCAAACCAUUAUUAGGAGAACAGCCGCACGGUUUAUUAAACUAAGAUUUGAUCCAGAGAAAGAUGCUUUUCCCCAAUCGUUAUCGAGACUAAACUUGUCCUCGUCAUUCUUUUACGUUAAUUCCAUUAUCGCUAUUGCAUUAUUGUUAUAAGAUUAAAUGAAAUGACUUUACUUGAUCAGUAACGGACUUUACAGACUUGUCUUUCCUUUCCUUCAAAUACUAUUAAUUUCCUUUAUAAACGGACACUAGUGUUUAACAAAAUAAAGUAAGCAAAGUCUUUUUAAGCAACUGCCAAGUUUCCAAAAGGCAUAGCAAUUUUGCGUUGCUUUUAAGUGGUAUAAUAAUAUCUAACGUUAAUGUUUUAAAGUUCGUAGUAUGCGUAAUAAUAAUAGCAGUAAAUUUAUAAGGUUAAUGAACAUAGGUAUUCAAACUUCAGGAAGUAGAGUCUGGUCUUACUUUCUUAAAGUUCCCGCUCUAAAGACACUGUCAGGUUAUAGGUCUUACCCCAACGUACGAGUCCUUUAAAUUCAUCUUGGGAGUUUAAAAAGAAAUUUAAUUCGAACUUUAAACAAGUGUUCAAACUGGCUCCAUUGUCAUACGCCGCAUUUCUAUAAAAUAAACUAGACACUGUAAGCAAAUGAAAAUUGCGAUUAUAAAGACAAUUUCUUUUGGAAAAUAAGAUAAACGUCAGUUUCUCUGAAUCAGUCAAUAAGUAUUUUGUCGGAACAAAUAGUUUUUUGAAGAACUAAUAAAAAUAAAUAAAAAUAAUGAAAAAUCAGAAGAUUUGAGCGGUAAAUAGGCGAUAAAAGAAACUUGUUCUCUAAAAAUGCAACGAGAAAGAGGCGGACCUGCUCGGACGAGGAGCUUUAAUUUCAUGGCACGAUCGGUUCAAAAUGAAAUCUCGCACGCAACCGAAGCGACGACGACCCGCGGAAACAGGGAGGCCGCGCGCACUUUUUAUGCGGGGAACAAAGUUUUCUGGCUUGGUUAAAGCGCGCUCUUUACGCUCGUAUUCACGGUCGGGGCCGCGGCUCGUCGUAAAUCCGUGCCGAUUCCGAGCAUCCGGUUUGAUUAACCCUUUGAAAGCUCGAGAGACAUGUAAUUAUCCGCGUCUACUUCACCUUAGCUGGCGGAAUGGACGCUCUCCUUUCUGAUUGUUAAUUUGAACUUCCGUAUCUUCAACUCAUUCGAUUUGCCGUUUCCGUUUACGUCUGUUCUUUUAACGAGUUCCACUUUUAGUAGUGACGUGAGAUAAACACGCGAAAAUCCAUUUGUUACUAGCAAUUGCCAUACUCAAUUUCGAUAAAAUAAUGAACAACAACAAAUAUUAAGUUUUCAUUCUAUGACUCUAGAUUGAUUUCAAAAUCUUCAGAAUUAUCAAAAAUAUACAACAGAUACAUUAUAAGAAUACAUAUCUAAAACAAUGCCAGAUUGAGAGUAUUAAGAAAUGUACGACAAUUUUAAAGAAUUCCGCGUUUAGAGCUAUAAAUACUUCAUUAAGUGGAUGUAAAAUGUAGUAAUUAGACAAGUACUUGUACAUAUGUUUAUAAAAAAGCUACUUGAUAAUCAGUUACUACAAAUCUCAGAAAAACUGGUUGAGGUACUCUGUUGCAAGACAACCACCUAAAAAGUCAAUUGCCUUUUACACGAGCUAAAGAGCAAGCAAGCAAGUUCAUUCUAUUACGUUCCGAAAGAGUAGUUAUCACUCGAAAUACAAUUAAUCAUUGUUUCAUUGUUUCCAAGUAUCAAAUCGACACGAUUUUUAGAUCAGAGUUCAAAGUAAGGAGCUUUGCCUUCCACGUUCUCGCGUAUGAAGCUCAAGAAACAUGGUUAAACCGUGCGAAAUCUCGACAAACAGAAUCAUCUCUGGCGACGGUCAAACAGAGCCGGGGUAAUCCCGCGGAUUAAGCUGGCGGCGGCAGACCUUUACCCCCUCGCGCUGCGCUGUAAACAGUUCGUCGAACAUGCCGCGUGGUUCACGCAUCGUUAAGCAACGAGACGAGAGGGCGAGGGCGAGGAACAGAGGGUGGGAGGUGGUAGCGACGGUUGCCAGCCGUCGACGUGCACACAUCGCGUCGCGUCGAUACCCAGUAGCGUGGCUGCUUUGUGCAGGUCGCGCGGGCACGGACUACCCGGUAUUGGGCAAGGUGCCUUACACAAAUUUCUACUGCGACGAUCAGCCAUACCCGGGUUUCUU